CCUACGGGAGGCAGCAGUGAGGAAUAUUGGUCAAUGGACGCAAGUCUGAACCAGCCAUGCCGCGUGCAGGAAGACGGCUCUAUGAGUUGUAAACUGCUUUUGUACGAGGGUAAACGCAGAUACGCGUAUCUGUCUGAAAGUAUCGUACGAAUAAGGAUCGGCUAACUCCGUGCCAGCAGCCGCGGUAAUACGGAGGAUUCAAGCGUUAUCCGGAUUUAUUGGGUUUAAAGGGUGCGUAGGCGGUCGGAUAAGUUAGAGGUGAAAUCCCGAGGCUCAACUUCGGAAUUGCCUCUGAUACUGUUCGGCUAGAGAGUAGUUGCGGUAGGCGGAAUGUAUGGUGUAGCGGUGAAAUGCUUAGAGAUCAUACAGAACACCGAUUGCGAAGGCAGCGUACCAAGCUACGUCUGACGUUGAGGCACGAAAGCGUGGGGAGCAAACAGGACUAGAUACCCCUGUAGUC
rnacentral:rRNA from 1 species